rnacentral:tRNA from 1 species
GUACAUAUAAUUUAUAAAAAUACUAGGCCGUGACCCUAGAAAUGAGAGUUUAAUUCUCUCUAUGAAC